UAUAACUAACUUCCUUCCUUCCUGCCUUCCUCCCUCCCUGCCUUCCCUUCCUUCCUGCCUUCCUUCUUCCUUCCUCCCUUUUUUCUUUUCUCCCUUCCUUCCUUCUUAAUAUGUUUUUGGCCUUUUCUUUAUAUAUGUGGCCUAGCAAUAUCCUGUGUUUGGAAAAGUAUAAACCUAAGGCAUCACCUUUACAGAAAAUAUCUUCCACGGAAACAUCUAAAGGCAAAAAUCCUUCAAAUUCAAAUUUAUCCAAUCAUUUCUUCUGCUUACUACCAUCCUAAAUCAUUUUUCUUUAGUAAGAUCUAUUAGUGUGAAGCUAUUAAGCUAUUAAUGUAUGUAUCAUAUUAAUGUAUUAAGACAUUAAGUGAGGAAGUAAAGUUGCAUUCACAGGCCUUGAACUUUUCCACAUCUCGAUUUUUACCCAUCAUCUCUGCAUAGUUCCCUAAGGCAGCCUUCAAAUGGUGAUGUUUCUUAUAAUCCAGAGUUCAGAAGUGGCUUCUCUUCAAUCUUUCUGUGGAAUUCUAAACCACGUGAUAAAGGAGCUGGUGAAAUAAUGUCUUGCUAUGUUGCCCAGGCUGGUCUCAAACUCAGGCUCAAAUGAUCCACCCAUCUUGGCCUCCCAAAGUGUUACGUGUGAACCACUGCACCUGGCCAAAAAUAUUUUACUAAGAAAAAGGAGUCACCUAUUGUAUGAUUCCAUUUAUAUGAAAUAUCCAAAAUAGGCCACAGAUCAGCCCUGGGGUUCAGAGGGAUCCUGACAGCUACUCCUCAAGAUCCUCUCUGUUGUGAUUCAUCCCCCCGGGGCCCUACAGUUUCUCCUUCCUGACUCUUACAUUUCUUUGGAUGGCAUCAUUAUUUACCUGUCUCCUCCCAUAGUUAGGUGCCAAGCACUGUGGAUUCUGCCUCUCAGUGUCCAGACACCCAUUUUCCUUCCCACUGUUCCUUCCCCAUGGAGAAGCCUGUGGCUGGCUGACAGCAGAGAGAGAUGCUCAACUUGGAGAAGGUGUUACCUGGGCCAGGUGGGGAAGGUUUGUUUGCAGAGCAAAGAAGUGAAGCCUAUUCAACGUGAAAAAGAUGAGGAUGAAGACCUUUAUUAUGAUCCACUUCCAAGUAAUGAACACACUGGAGAAAGUCAGACAGUCAAAACAAUGUCCCAGACUCCGUGAAGUUCCUGGGUAGAGAAGGAGACAGACAUAUACCAUACCUAAUAAUUGGAUGUCCGAGAGAAUGAGAGAAUGGCAGAAAGAACUUUAGAGCAUGGGUAUGAUGGCUAGAGCUUGAGCAGCCAUUGUGGACAUCAGAUGAACUUGAAAGUGAAAACUAUGAGCUGAAUACGACAAAGCAAACAGAUAGAAAACUGGAUUCAUUAUGACAUUGCAAAGCUGCCAGACCAGCUCUAGUCUGCUUCCCCCUAAUCUUCCUUACUAAGAGAGAGAAAUAAACUUCCAUCUUCUUCAAGCCACUG
rnacentral:lncRNA from 1 species